GCCGCCGCUCCAUCCCUCUCUUCCCUCCAAACUUGUCACCGGCGACGAAGCGUACGGCGCCCUGCGGUCGUGAUCGAUCGCCUCCAGGAACCUACCACGCGCGCCGAGGCGAGGGCCUCGUGGACUCCGUCCGUCGCCGCUUGGCCGACGACCUCGUGAUGGAUCGAUUAUUUCUCAGCUUGGCGCAUGCAGUACGGCAGCACGCCGCGCGCAGUUUCCUUGGAUUCUAUUCCAUCUCUUCGCGUCCGCUUCCUCUAAUUGUGAGUUUUGGCUGUAAUGCGUUUUACAGAUUCCCAUCUACUAUACUUCCUAUGUAGUGCAUAUCCCAUUCCUCCUUUUACAGGCUUCUCAAAUCAUUCGUUCGUUCGUGCUGGUCAUCCUCCUACAUCUGCCUGUCUCGCUCUCCGAUUGAUUAAUCGUGUUCAUUGGGAUUUAAAAAGAGGAACAUGGAUUUUUGUUGGUGACUUGUAAGCAGCAACAAGAUCUUGCAAUUUCUAAUUUUCUAGCCAUCCACGUGAGUACAGAUCAGGCGAGUACCUCGGGGCAGAGCCCGCGCUGCCGUACCUGAGCCCCUACAUGCGCGGCGAGAACCUGCUCGUCAGCGCCAACUUCGCGUCCACCGGCGUCGGCAUCCUCAAUGACACAGGCGUGCAAUUCGUGAACAUCAUCAGGAUCGCCCAGCAGCUGCAGAACUUCCAGGACUACCAGCAGAGUGCGUAGGAUUUUUUUUUAAAUUACUACAUUCCCCAACAGUGGUAUCCGAGCAAGGUUUAUGCGUAGAUGUUAUAUGCACGAGUAGAACACAAGUGAGUUGUGGGCGAUAAUAGUCAUACUGCUUACCAGCAUGCCAUACUUUGAUUCGGCGGUAUUGUUGGAUGAAGCGGCCCGGACCGACA